rnacentral:rRNA from 1 species
CACGUAGGGACCAAGCGUUGUCCGGAUUUAUUGGGCGUAAAGAGCUCGUAGGCGGUUUGGUAAGUCGGGUGUGAAAACUCAGGGCUUAACCCUGAGACGCCACCCGAUACUGCCAUGACUUGAGUCCGGUAGGGGAGUGGGGAAUUCCUGGUGUAGCGGUGAAAUGCGCAGAUAUCAGGAGGAACACCGGUGGCGAAGGCGCCACUCUGGGCCGGUACUGACGCUGAGGAGCGAAAGCGUGGGUAGCAAA